UACAGAGGUCCCGAGCGUUGUUCGGAUUCACUGGGCGUAAAGGGUGCGUAGGUGGUGAGGUAAGUCGGAUGUGAAAUCUCCGGGCUCAACCCGGAAAUGGCAUUGGAAACUACCUUGCUUGAGGUUUUGAGGGGGGACUGGAAUUCUCGGUGUAGCAGUGAAAUGCGCAGAUAUCUGGAGGAACACCGGUGGCGAAGGCGGCAUCCUGGACCGGUAUUGACGCUGAGGCGCGAAAGCCAGGGGAGCAAACGGG
rnacentral:rRNA from 1 species